rnacentral:rRNA from 1 species
ACUUUCAACAACGAACCUCUUGGCUCCUGCAUUCGAUGAAGAACGCACCGAAAUGCGCAUAAGUAAUGGGAAUUGCAGAACCCAGUGAAUCAUCCAACCUUUGAACGCACCCCUGCGCCCUUUGGUAUUCCAAGGGGCAUGGCCGGUUUAA